UCAAAAGUUUAAAAAAAAAAUUAAAAAUAUGUAAAACGUUAAAAAAAAAAUCCAAAAAAUUAUUGGCAAAAUUAAAAGGAAAAGAAAGGAAAGAAUAGUGUUUUUGUUUUGUUUUGUAAUAUUGCAACUUCAAGGCAGUUGGACACAGCACAUCAGUUAAUAGUCGAUUGGACCAUGUCUGACCCUGAUUUAGACCUUCAUGAAUCUUAUCAGACUGGAAACGCUUCAAGUUUGAUUUUUGUGUUGUAGACAAGCCUACAUGCCUACCUAAUGGAUAACUAGCAAGACGUUAAUUUUGCUGACUUACGAUAUGUUUCGGCAUUGAGCAUUCUCUUAAUAAGUCGGGCUCGAUCACAUUGGUAUCCUUACAUGUGACCAUAAUUUGGAACUUCAAAAAAUUGAAUUGAUUGACAAGAAAAAUCAGCAACUCCAAAUCUGGGCAUCCAAUGAGCCACUGAACCAACACGCUCACGGUUGCCUGUUCAAAGGUUGUCUUCCUGCCUCUCUGCCAAUGUAUUGGGUGUGGAGGCCAGUGUGUGGCAGGCAUACCAGGAAAAAACUUCUGUAGCGGAGACAGCCAAUAAUUGCUUCGAAUCUUCAAACCACACGGAGUGUUAUUGUUAGCCUGGCAGGGGCAAGAUCAUGGCCUGCUGUCUCCUGUGCUGUGGUGGUGAUUUUCUGUUCAUGGAUGUGACUGCUGCCAUUGCCAUUAUCCAGACCAAGAACAGCAUCAAGUUUGUCGAUUAGUUGACCUAUUGUGUUUAAGACCAGUGUAGUUUGUAAUGGCUUGGAGUCACUGAUGGAGAGUUGAUGGAGAGUUCCAUGCUAUUACUCAUCAAGUUGAGGAGGACUGAGCUAGGUCUCUAUCACCUCCAGCUUAUUCUUUGGCCCCUGAGAAGGCCAGGAUUGAUUCACCGGAUACUCAGACCUCGGUGACGUCCCGCGCAGUUGUCACGUCCAGUAUGCAGCAACGCUGUACCAGUUGGGGCGCCUCACUGAGUUGAAGACUGAGCUGGUACACAAGACUAUCCAGCUUACCCUUGGGCUUCGUGACAGAAGUCUUCGACUGCUCCGCUGAAGUCGUACAUGAGGCGUUCAAUUUCCUGGAAUUCCCUGUACAUCCCGCUGGAAGGAGGUCCUCGUUGCCGUCCCGCGCAGCAAUCACGGCAUUCCGCAUGGCUUGCAGGACAGCCCGACUGUAGCGCUCGACGUUGGCCUCCAAUUCAGCCCUGGAAGCAGAAUGGGCGGCGGCCGCCGCCGUGGCCAGCCGACCCCGCUUGACCUGGUUGUCCAGAGUGGACUGCAGGGCUGCGUCUAGGUCGGCGGGCGCCUCGCCUGGGACCGGCAGCUCACUCAAGAUUGUCCCGCAGUAGGCUCUUAGGUAUCUUGCAAACGUGUUGUAGUUGGCUACAUGCGGGACAGAAGACAUUGUGAUUGAAUUGGCGGCACACUCGGAUGUGGAUUGCCUUGUGCCGGAAGGAGUUGAGAGGGGUGGCACAAAACUCGCAUCGUAUUUUUCCUGGUGCAGUGGCAUAUCCGGGCUGGUUGGCGGUGGGCAUCCACUGCCCCUUGGCACCAGUGACAUCCAUCUCGCGGGUGGCAAUUAGCUCAUACACAGCUGCAACAUGCGCCUAGUUCCAUGACCUGGAUGCCGGGGAAGUCAUUAAAGGUCAUUUCUUGGCGCAGCUGGUAUGACAGGUGGGCGGAGCGUCCUACAAGAAGAAAGAACUGUUCAGCAACAUCACUAAGUAACAGUGAAAGGCUCAUGCUUUGACAAAGCCGUUUGUUGAACACCCAUCCUUAAACCUUAAUCUUGGACGGACAUGCCUUAUGAAUAUGAUUUGCUCUGACACUUCAGCGGCAAGACUAUGCCUUUAUGGUUCGUCACUGCAGUGAUAAAGUGGCAGCUCACAAGCCGCUAGGCCGUUGUUUUGCAUGGCCUGCUUCUUCAUGAGUGGAAAAGUGUCUGUUCCUGAAAUGUGCAGCACCGUAUUGACAUUUGGACUUCAAUGGUCUCUGACUUCCGAGUGAAAUUAUUUGUUUUUGCUGUGGUGGUCAAAACACAAAUAUCACUUGGUAGCUCUACUAAAUUUGUGUCUAUGGUGGUUUGAAACUCAAAUGGAAAGGAGCUGAAGCUUUAAUUACUGCUGAUCCUCUACGAGAUGCCAAAACUCAUUAGUCCCUGGUCUCAACAACCUGGCCAGGUCACUAUGGCAUUUGUGCACUGGUUUGUUGGAGACGUGUGGGAGGAGGUGACUGGGCUGCUUUAUGGAAGGAAUGUGGAAAGGUCAGCAUCAACAGAGUUGAUGAUGAUUAUGAAGGUGGUGGUGAGGAGUAUUGAAGACCAACUGGUUGUGGUCCUGAUCCACUUCAUGUCUGAAGAAAUCCUACCUGUAAUACGCUGUGGAGACGAUAUGGAGUCAGUUUGCGUUUUGUAACCAACCAUUUGAGGGGCCGCUCUGUCUGCUAAUGAGUUAUUUCACAAUUCAAACUGCAUUGAAAUGCCAGCCAUUCUAUUGUGCCAGCCAUUCUGUGGAAGGUCUGAUUAUGACAUGGAAGACCCUCUGAGUUCAAGAUGUUGCUGAUACCUCAUGGGGAGCUUGGGGAUGUAUCUAAAUAUCCAACUUCAAUGCUGAGAAAACCGGUAUUUGGAUGUGAUGUCCAUGGAAGCUAGAUCAAUGAAGUGGUGGCAAUUCUUGAUACUGUGACAACGUAUUUUCUCGUUGGUGGUGGUAUUAACACCUCAUCAUUUUGUGAGGUUACGAGCUUACUUCAUAGUGAUCAUUUAUGUUGAGGCAGCUGUAGUACAUUUGUUCGCAAAUCGAAAGAGGCUGAAAUUUCUGUUGGUGAUUCUCAACAAGGUGCCAAAGCUCAUUGAGUUCUACGAGACGUCCUGCUCAGCUAUAACGGGGUAACUUUCAAUUCAAAUUGCAUUGAAAUGCCAGCCAUUCUAUUAGAAGUCUGUGGAAAGUCUGAUUACGACAUUAAAGAUCCUCUGAGUUCAAGAUGUUGUUGCUAACAGGGUGCUAGGGGACCUAAAUAUCCAACUAAAAUGCUGAGAAGAGUGGGAUCUGGAUGUGAUGCCCAUAGAAGCUAGAUCAAUUAAGUGGUGAAAUUGUUUGAUACUGUGACAACUUUUUGUUUUCAAUGAUGGUGGUUUAACACCUUAUCAUUUUGGCAUGUUGCAUGCCCACUUCAUAGUGAGUUUUUAUUUGUCCUGUUGGUUGUGGUGCUGAAAACACCAAUAUCAUUUAAAGAGGUAGCUCUAGUACAUUAGUGCUCACAUGGUGUGAAACUCAGAUGGAAAGAAGUUGAAGUUUCUGUUGCUGAUCCUCUACUAGAUGGCAAAACUCAUUGAGUUCCACAAGUUGGAUUUUAUGUAUGCCAAGCAAGCAUUUGUGUCCUUAUGUUGGAGAGGGUGUGGAAGAAAGUGACUUAGGAGCUUGCCUAGACUUGCCUGCUAUAUGGGAGGAAUAUGGACAGUUGGCAUGAACAGUGUUAAGGACAAAGGUGUGCGUAGUGGGAAGAUCUGUUCUUGGACGGACAUGCCUUGAAAGUGAUUUGCUCUGACACUUCAGCGGCAAUACUAUGCCUUUAUGGCUAGUCACUGCAUUGAUGAAGGAGCAGCUCACAAGCCAAAGCUAUCGUUUGGUUCUACAGGGCCUGCUUGUUCAUGAGCGGAAAAUUGUCCGUUCCUCAAAUGCGCAACAUGAUUGUCAUUUGGACAUAUAUGGCUCCUCAUUAGUCAGCUUGCAAUUGCUGAGCCAUCGACCAGUUUGAACGUCCGGUUUGAUUUGACUUAUGCCGAGCAAACAUUUGUGCACUGGGACGUUGUAGUGUGGACAAGAGGCUUGUAGAGACUAUCUGCCAUGGAGAAGAAUUAAAAAGUUGUCUGACAAUGUUAGCAGAGGGGGUGGUGAUGAAGACCAUCAGAGAGACCCUCUCAAAAAUCUGUCAAAUGUCUGGUUUUGAUGUUGAAGAACUUCAAGCUGAACAUAUUCCUAAAUAUGUCAAAAGCAACGAAAGAUCCUCUGACAGCAGCCCGACAGCCUCAAUGUUCAAAGAAGUUACAAUAACUGAUUAAUUAGGGCAGAAGGCUUCGUCAUUUGAAUCAAAUGGCAUACUCAGAUUAUGAUGGGUAAAUAUGUGCAUGUAUUUACCAUAUCAGGUGCCAUGCUGGUCAAGAGAGGGGACACUUCAGUGAACGCUGCACUUCAGAGUUGGGCACAGUGAAGCAGUGAGAUGCAAGUCACCCAAGAGUGGAGUCCUGCCUGUGGAGUCCUUCGAUCCAAUCUGAGAAGAGAGUGGUGGAUGCAUCACGUUGACCAGUUUGUCAAGCCACUUCCUUGACCAGUAUUUGUUGUUCUAUUAGCUGAACUUGGCUGCGUCCUUGCUGCGUCACAGGCGGUGCAGAUGCUUAGCUUCCUGAAACUUCAAUUUGUAUCGGAAUUUUGAUUGUAAAUUCCUAUCCUAGACGCAUGUUGAUGUGCAGGCAUGCAGCAAGCGAGUACCAUUGUUGAAGCCAAUUAUAUAAACCUCUGUUGAUGCCUCUCUUAGGUGCAAAUGUGAACUCCCCAUGGUUCUUGUAAGGAAGUUUCAUUUUGUCUAGGAAUGUUUCAUGCCUGGGGCAGGAAUAGAUUUUGGUGUAUGAUGAGCUUGCACUCAUACUAUGUCAGUUCUUUGUUAAUUGCAAUGGUGUAUUUGCUCUUUGAGUGAAAUGUUAACUUAUAUUCCUAAAGGUUCUUGAAGUUUGAGAAAUAAUGUUUGUGACAAAAAAGGGUGUCCCUUAUGUAUAUCACCGCUUCUGUUUCUUUUACCUUUUAAUGUCCAUAUAUUCUUUAUAUUUUCAAACUUUGGAUCCUGUUUGUAUUUUGUGUAUUGUUUGUUACAUAAGUCACUAGAAUACUUAUCGUAUGAUGCUGUGUUGUUUUAUUUUAGUGGUAUUUUGAACUUUUCUCUAUUACUUGUCGGGCACCUUUGCAAUAGUGACUCAAUUAAGGAGAAAUGGAAAUGAUACUGUUCGGAUCAUUUUGAGAGUGUGGUUUUUGGUUUGUUUUAUUUUAACUUGUUAAAAAAAUUAAUCGAGAUCUAAAUGAUUUUGGAAGUUUUCCAUUAUUGAAUUGAGGAAUAUGUUUGUCAAAGAUAGAAGGGUGGACCUAUUAAAUAUCUCUAAUGUUGUUCUGUUCUUCUUCUAUCCGUUUUCUUCUGCUGUUUCUAUUUGUGAUAACUGUACUGUCAGUGACAAAGGGUUUAUCUGACAAUUGUUUGCCUGAUGACAUUCUUAUUUUUAAGAUUUGUGACUUCUUUCUGUGUCUGUGGCUUAGGUUCCUACUAUUUAAACCCUGUUAACUGCUUUCUCUUAUUUUUUAUUCAGAAUGUAAGGCUUUAUCUGACGACUCUUUUGUUUCCUUUUUUCAAUCGAAUAAAAUUCAUUCUGCCUUUUUUCACGGUUGAGCUUCUUGUUUUACUCUAAAUAAUGUUGUUCGUUCUGCUUAUAGUUAACAAUAAAGAAAUCUAUUUA